ACAAUGAAGAGUUUGAUCCUGGCUCAGGAUGAACGCUAGCUACAGGCUUAACACAUGCAAGUCGAGGGGCAGCAUGGUCUUAGCUUGCUAAGGCCGAUGGCGACCGGCGCACGGGUGAGUAACACGUAUCCAACCUGCCGUCUACUCUUGGACAGCCUUCUGAAAGGAAGAUUAAUACAAGAUGGCAUCAUGAGUCCGCAUGUUCACAUGAUUAAAGGUAUUCCGGUAGACGAUGGGGAUGCGUUCCAUUAGAUAGUAGGCGGGGUAACGGCCCACCUAGUCUUCGAUGGAUAGGGGUUCUGAGAGGAAGGUCCCCCACAUUGGAACUGAGACACGGUCCAAACUCCUACGGGAGGCAGCAGUGAGGAAUAUUGGUCAAUGGGCGAGAGCCUGAACCAGCCAAGUAGCGUGAAGGAUGACUGCCCUAUGGGUUGUAAACUUCUUUUAUAAAGGAAUAAAGUCGGGUAUGGAUACCCGUUUGCAUGUACUUUAUGAAUAAGGAUCGGCUAACUCCGUGCCAGCAGCCGCGGUAAUACGGAGGAUCCGAGCGUUAUCCGGAUUUAUUGGGUUUAAAGGGAGCGUAGAUGGAUGUUUAAGUCAGUUGUGAAAGUUUGCGGCUCAACCGUAAAAUUGCAGUUGAUACUGGAUAUCUUGAGUGCAGUUGAGGCAGGCGGAAUUCGUGGUGUAGCGGUGAAAUGCUUAGAUAUCACGAAGAACUCCGAUUGCGAAGGCAGCCUGCUAAGCUGCAACUGACAUUGAGGCUCGAAAGUGUGGGUAUCAAACAGGAUUAGAUACCCUGGUAGUCCACACGGUAAACGAUGAAUACUCGCUGUUUGCGAUAUACUGCAAGCGGCCAAGCGAAAGCGUUAAGUAUUCCACCUGGGGAGUACGCCGGCAACGGUGAAACUCAAAGGAAUUGACGGGGGCCCGCACAAGCGGAGGAACAUGUGGUUUAAUUCGAUGAUACGCGAGGAACCUUACCCGGGCUUAAAUUGCAGAUGAAUUACGGUGAAAGCCGUAAGCCGCAAGGCAUCUGUGAAGGUGCUGCAUGGUUGUCGUCAGCUCGUGCCGUGAGGUGUCGGCUUAAGUGCCAUAACGAGCGCAACCCUUGUUGUCAGUUACUAACAGGUU
rnacentral:rRNA from 1 species